rnacentral:rRNA from 1 species
AGGGAAAGGCGAAAAGAACCCCGGCGAGGGGAGUGAAAAAGAACCUGAAACCGUGUACGUACAAGCAGUGGGAGCACCCUUUGGGGUGUGACUGCGUACCUUUUGUAUAAUGGGUCAGCGACUUAUAUUCUGUAGCAAGGUUAACCGUAUAGGGGAGCCGCAGGGAAACCGAGUCUUAACCGGGCGUUAAGUUGCAGGGUAUAGACCCGAAACCCGGUGAUCUAGCCAUGGGCAGGUUGAAGGUUGGGUAACACUAACUGGAGGACCGAACCGACUAAUGUUGAAAAAUUAGCGGAUGACCUGUGGCUGGGGGUGAAAGGCCAAUCAAACCGGGAGAUAGCUGGUUCUCCCCGAAAGCUAUUUAGGUAGCGCCUCGUGAAUUCAUCUCCGGGGGUAGAGCACUGUUUCGGCUAGGGGGCCAUCCCGGCUUACCAACCCGAUGCAAACUGCGAAUACCGGAGAAUGUUAUCACGGGAGACACACGGCGGGUGCUAACGUCCGUCGUGAAGAGGGAAACAACCCAGACCGCCAGCUAAGGUCCCAAAGUCAUGGUUAAGUGGGAAACGAUGUGGGAAGGCCCAGACAGCCAGGAUGUUGGCUUAGAAGCAGCCAUCAUUUAAAGAAAGCGUAAUAGCUCACUGGUCGAGUCGGCCUGCGCGGAAGAUGUAACGGGGCUAAACCAU